rnacentral:rRNA from 1 species
AUUGAACGCUGGCGGCAGGCCUAACACAUGCAAGUCGAGCGAGCGGCGGACGGGUGAGUAAUGUAUGGGAAACUGCCUGAUGGAGGGGGAUAACUAAUGGAAACGGUAGCUAAUACCGCAUACCAUCAGAUGGGCCCAGAGGGGAUGAGCUAGUAGGUGGGGUAACGGCUCACCUAGGCGACGAUCCCUAGCUGGUCUGAGAGGAUGACCAGCCACACUGGAACUGAGACACGGUCCAGACUCCUACGUGAGGCAGCAGUGGGGAAUAUUGCACAAUGGGCGCAAGCCUGAUGCAGCCAUGCCGCGUGUAUGAAGAAGGCCUUCGGGUUGUAAAGUACUUUCAGCGAGUAGGCGUUACUCGCAGAAGAAGCACCGGCUAACUCCGUGCCAGCAGCCGCGGUAAUUC